AAUUUGUACAGCUCCACACAUGCAAGUUGGUUAAAAACACUUAGCUGUGUACUGGAAUAGAAGUGGAAUGUGGCCAGCUGAACUUUCCAAGGUUUGAAACAGUCCAUAUCCUCUCUCUCUGAAGCUUCUGCCAACUCUGUGUUUUCAUAAUCUGAGCUUCUCAGGGAUUUAGAUUUUCUCUGAUUCUGCUAAAAAUGCCAGUGCUCAUCUUUUCAAUAUUCUGUAAGACGUGUCACUGACAACAGUAUCUGUACAUGAUUGAGAAAUGAUGCGGCAGAUAGAUUUCCUAGUUAUCCUCACUGCUUUUUCUUUCUUCAUAGGGCUCAAGUCUUAUGAAGAUGGACAGCAGUACAAAAUUCCCUGAUAGACGGGACUGCAGGACAUCAAAACUCUCAUACUGAAUCAGAUCUAGUCUGAUUUUCUAACCUUAGCUACGGCCUUCAAACUGCUCUUAUUUUCUUCUGACAAGGCAAUAAUUUGGGAAAGAGAAAUAAAUGUCCUAUUAGUGAUCUUCUUUCCACCUACAUCAUCCUGAUCUUGGACUUCAUCCUGAUCUUGGACUUCAUCCUGCAUACAGGAUUUUCAGCUGUUCUGAAUGCAUAAUAUGUUCCUGCCUAUUCAACACAUUAUUGCAAGUGCUGUGGGCAUCCCUUGUUAACAGCAUAAAAUCAAGAUACCAAAUCAUAUAUUCUAAAAUAAAAGAGUAAGAUCUUCCUAAAUCUCUCAGCCAGUGUCCACAAACCACCAUGAAGCAGGAAACAGCAGCAGCAGCAUGAUAUAGUUAAACAGCAAAUUCCUAAAAACCUCUGUUUACAGGGGUAGGGAAGAACUCUCAAAACUCCAAACUUAUCAAAUCUUGUCAACUGUAGCAAAUACUGAAAGUGGAAGAAACCAAAGAUCCUGCUGUCCUCACCCCACCAGAGAAAUCAGACUGGACUCAACUUUCCAGUAGCUCAUGUAAAGCAAGCUCAACUACUCUGCCUGGGCUGACAGCAGUGCAGAUGUACCCUAGAAGAGUGUUGUAUAUCAGUUACAACUAUAAUCAAAGUGGCAAUGAAAAAAACCCAACCAAACGACACCAGCAACAGAGGCUGUUAUUUGUAUUAUUAUACACAUUUUGUUAUCAAGCUGUCAAAUGCUUCAGUAGUGGCAGAAAAUCCUGAAGCUUUCUCCAUAAAGAGUUAAGGCAGAAACAGAAACACAUUCACUCUGUUUUUAAAGGCCCAGCUUGUCUGCUCCCACAAUGGGAAGAUCCAA